rnacentral:rRNA from 1 species
CCCUUAGAUGUUCUGGGCCGCACGCGCGCUACACUGAUACGUUCAGCGAGUAUAUAACCUUGAUUGGAAAAUCUGGGUAAUCUUUUGAAUGCGUAUCGUGCUAGGGAUAGAUUAUUGCAAUUAUUAAUCUUGAACGAGGAAUUCCUAGUAAACGCAAGUCAUCAGCUUGCAUUGAUUACGUCCAUGCCCUUUGUACACACCGCCUGUCGCACAAACCGAUUGAAUGAUUCGGUGAAAAUUUUGGACAUCGAGAGUGGUGAUUAAUUUCGCUGCUCUUAAAUGGAAAGAAUUUAAACCUAAUUAUUUAGAGGAUUGUGAAGUCAUAACA